AUUGAACGCUGGCGGCAGGCCUAACACAUGCAAGUCGAGCGGAUGAAGGGAGCUUGCUCCUGGAUUCAGCGGCGGACGGGUGAGUAAUGCCUAGGAAUCUGCCUGGUAGUGGGGGAUAACGUCCGGAAACGGGCGCUAAUACCGCAUACGUCCUGAGGGAGAAAGCGGGGGAUCUUAGGACCUCACGCUAUCAGAUGAGCCUAGGUCGGAUUAGCUAGUUGGUGGGGUAAAGGCCUACCAAGGCGACGAUCCGUAACUGGUCUGAGAGGAUGAUCAGUCACACUGGAACUGAGACACGGUCCAGACUCCUACGGGAGGCAGCAGUGGGGAAUUUUGGACAAUGGGCGAAAGCCUGAUCCAGCCAUGCCGCGUGUGUGAAGAAGGUCUUCGGAUUGUAAAGCACUUUAGGUUGGGAAGAAAGGCAGUAAGUUAAUACCUUGCUGUUUUGACGUUACCAACAGAAUAAGCACCGGCUAACUACGUG
rnacentral:rRNA from 1 species